rnacentral:rRNA from 1 species
UGAGUAACCUGCCCUUAACUCUGGGAUAAGCCUGGGAAACUGGGUCUAAUACCGGAUAUGACUCCUUAUCGCAUGGUGGGGGGUGGAAAGCUUUAUUGUGGCUUUGGAUGGACUCGCGGCCUAUCAGCUUGUUGGUGAGGUAAUGGCUCACCAAGGCGACGACGGGUAGCCGGCCUGAGAGGGCGAUCGGCCACACUGGGACUGAGACACGGCCCAGACCUCCGUACGGGAGCAG